rnacentral:rRNA from 1 species
GUAGGGAAUAUUGCGCAAUGGGGGAAACCCUGACGCAGCGACGCCGCGUGAGUGAUGAAGGCCUUCGGGUCGUAAAGCUCUGUUGCAGGGGAAUAAAAAAAUGAAGGUACCCUGUGAGGAAGGAUCGGCUAACUUCGUGCCAGCAGCCGCGGUAAGACGAGGGAUCCUAGCGUUGCUCGGAAUCAUUGGGCGUAAAGAGGGCGUAGGUGGCUUGGUAAGUCAGGUGUGAAAGCCCAGGGCUCAACCCUGGAAGUGCAUUUGAUACUGCUGAGCUUGAGUGUCGGAGAGGUUACCGGAAUACCUGGUGUAGUGGUGAAAUACGUAGAUAUCAGGUGGAACACCGGAGGCGAAGGCGGGUAACUGGACGAACACUGACACUGAGACCCGAAAGCGUGGGGAUCAAACAGGAUUAGAAACCCGGGUAGUCC